rnacentral:rRNA from 1 species
GGGAGCGAAGCAAUUGGAAGUGGUUCCAAGAAAAGCCUCUAAGCUUCAGUCUAACGAUGACCGUACCGCAAACCGACACAGGUGGGCGAGAUGAGUAUUCUAAGGCGCUUGAGAGAACUCGGGAGAAGGAACUCGGCAAAUUGGUACCGUAACUUCGGGAUAAGGUACGCCCUUGUAGCUUGAUGCGCCUGCGCGCAAAGGGUGAAGGGGUUGCAAUAAACUGGUGGCUGCGACUGUUUAAUAAAAACACAGCACUCUGCAAACACGAAAGUGGACGUAUAGGGUGUGACGCCUGCCCGGUGCCGGAAGAUUAAAUGAUGGGGUGCAAGCUCUUGAUUGAAGUCCCGGUAAACGGCGGCCGUAACUAUAACGGUCCUAAGGUAGCGAAAUUCCUUGUCGGGUAAGUUCCGACCUGCACGAAUGGCGUAACGAUGGCCACACUGUCUCCUCCCGAGACUCAGCGAAGUUGAAGUGUUUGUGAUGAUGCAAUCUACCCGCGGCUAGACGGAAAGACCCCAUGAACCUUUACUGUAGCUUUGCAUUGGACUUUGAACCGAUCUGUGUAGGAUAGGUGGGAGGCUAUGAAACCGGAACGCUAGUUUCGGUGGAGCCGUCCUUGAAAUACCACCCUGGUUUGUUUGAGGUUCUAACCUUGGCCCGUGAUCCGGGUCGGGGACAGUGCAUGGUAGGCAGUUUGACUGGGGCGGUCUCCUCCCAAAGCGUAACGGAGGAGUACGAAGGUACGCUAGGUACGGUCGGAAAUCGUGCUGAUAGUGCAAUGGCAUAAGCGUGCUUAACUGCGAGACCGACAAGUCGAGCAGGUGCGAAAGCAGGUCAUAGUGAUCCGGUGGUUCUGUAUGGAAGGGCCAUCGCUCAACGGAUAAAAGGUACUCUGGGGAUAACAGGCUGAUACCGCCCAAGAGUUCAUAUCGACGGCGGUGUUUGGCACCUCGAUGUCGGCUCAUCUCAUCCUGGGGCUGUAGCCGGUCCCAAGGGUAUGGCUGUUCGCCAUUUAAAGAGGUACGUGAGCUGGGUUUAAAACGUCGUGAGACAGUUUGGUCCCUAUCUGCCGUGGGCGUUGGAUAUUUGAAGGGGGCUGCUCCUAGUACGAGAGGACCGGAGUGGACGAACCUCUGGUGUACCGGUUGUCACGCCAGUGGCAUCGCCGGGUAGCUAUGUUCGGAAGAGAUAACCGCUGAAAGCAUCUAAGCGGGAAACUCGCCUUAAGAUGAGAUAUCCCUGGGGACUAGAUCCCCUUGAAGGGUCGUUCGAGACCAGGACGUUGAUAGGUCAGGUGUGUAAGCGCAGUAAUGCGUUCAGCUAACUGAUACUAAUUGCCCGUAAGGCUUGAUCCU